AUGAACGCUAGCGGCAGGCUUAAUACAUGCAAGUCGAACGGGAUUCGGGGUAGCAAUACUUUGAUGAGAGUGGCGCACGGGUGCGUAACGCGUAUGCAACCUACCUUUAACAGGGGAAUAGCCCCGAGAAAUCGGGAUUAAUACUCCGUAACAUUGCGGUGUGGCAUCACACUGCACUUAAAGCUGAGGCGGUUAAAGAUGGGCAUGCGUGACAUUAGCUAGUUGGUGAGGUAACGGCUCACCAAGGCAACGAUGUCUAGGGGUCCUGAGAGGGUUAUCCCCCACACUGGUACUGAGACACGGACCAGACUCCUACGGGAGGCAGCAGUAAGGAAUAUUGGUCAAUGGGCGCAAGCCUGAACCAGCCAUGCCGCGUGCAGGAAGACGGCCCUAUGGGUUGUAAACUGCUUUUGUCAGGGAAUAAACCCCCGCUCGUGAGCGGGGCUGAAGGUACCUGAAGAAUAAGCAUCGGCUAACUCCGUGCCAGCAGCCGCGGUAAUACGGAGGAUGCAAGCGUUAUCCGGAUUCAUUGGGUUUAAAGGGUGCGCAGGCGGAUUGGUAAGUCAGGGGUGAAAUCCCACAGCUCAACUGUGGAACUGCCUUUGAUACUGUCAGUCUAGAGUAUAGUUGAAGUUGGCGGAAUGUGUCAUGUAGCGGUGAAAUGCUUAGAUAUGACACAGAACACCGAUCGCGAAGGCAGCUAGCUAAGCUAUAACUGACGCUCAUGCACGAAAGCGUGGGGAUCAAACAGGAUUAGAUACCCUGGUAGUCCACGCUGUAAACGAUGAUUACUCGAUGUUGGCGAUACACAGUCAGCGUCUGAGCGAAAGCAAUAAGUAAUCCACCUGGGGAGUACGAUCGCAAGAUUG
rnacentral:rRNA from 1 species